UAUUUUCUUUAUUGCUCUUUGUUUAUAUAUUUACCUACCUUUAUUUUUGUUCUCGAGCACGAGAAAAUGACGAUAUGGCACCAUCCCAAAAUAAAAAAUAAGAUAAAAUAAAAUAAAAUACCAAAAAAGAAAAAUGGAAAAAAGUAACCAUGGUUAAGGGAACCCUAACCCGACAUGGUAAAGUGUUAACUCACUUUCCCCAAAUUAUCACAUCCAUCGAGUCCCUGCUCGUUAAUAGCACGACAACGCCACAAAAACACAACAGCUUUUUCGCCGAGCGCCAGGACAAACACCGUCCCCUGCUCCCCCAAUCACAACGGGCCACGUAGCCGCACGACUAACGCCGUCUCUGCCGGCUUCUCCACUCCCCUUUAUUGCAGCAACCCACGCCCCCUGGACUACCGGCUGUUCCCGGUCGUAAAGCUCCCGCCACCGGCUGUUCCCCGUCCACCCCUGGUUAGAUAUUGACCGCGGUUGAAACUUAUUUUCCAUUUGCCCCCUCCCCGGUUUUGACCCCUCUGGUUAAGGCCUAUUACUGGAAAGCUCCUCUCCCCUCUCUCAGAACUCGACCAGAGGUGAGAGAAAGUAGAGAGAGAAAGGGAUAGGGAGGAGAGAGACAGCGUUGCACUGUGAGGUGGUGGUCGUUCUGGCACCUGCAAUUCAUGGCUGAGACAGACUGAGACGGUUGCAGAAGAGAGAGAGGAAGACAGGGACAGGAGAGAGGAGAGACGGUUAAAUCGAGAGAAUUGGUUUUGGAUUGAGAUAUAUAUUGAUUGUUGAUCUUCGAGUAUAGGAACGAGGGUUGUUGCUUGUGUCGGUUGAAUUAAUUGUUUCUGAGGUCUGGAGUUGGGGUUUGGAUCGAAGUCAGGGUUGGUUGAGCUCGUGGUUGGUGGUUUUUUGAGGUUGUGUUUUACGAUUAUCGGCGGGAGGAGUUACAGAUGAGAGAUCUGUGCUGAAGUUCUGGAGAAAUGGUGUCUUCGGAGGUAUCAGCGAAAGGAAACUGCGGUAACGGGAGGGGAGAGAGCUUCUCCUCGGGGUACAGCGAGCCUAACGACGGUGGAAUUGGCAGGGACGGGCCGAGAGGUCACUCCGCUGCCGAAAAAGAUUCCGAAACUGCCCUUUACACGGAACUCUGGCACGCGUGCGCCGGUCCUCUCGUCACUGUGCCCCGCAAGGGAGAGCACGUCUUCUAUUUUCCUCAGGGACACAUCGAGCAGGUUGAGGCGUCGACAAAUCAGGUCGCGGAUCAGCAGCUACCAGUUUAUGAUCUUCCGUCGAAGAUCCUUUGCCGUGUGAUCAACGUCCAGUUGAAGGCCGAAGCGGACACUGACGAGGUGUUUGCGCAAGUGACUUUGCUUCCUGCGCCUAACCAAAAUGAGAACUCGAUAGAGAAGGAACCUUCUCCGCCUCCUCCGCCACGCUUUCAUGUGCAUUCUUUCUGUAAAACCUUGACAGCGUCGGAUACUAGCACCCAUGGUGGGUUUUCCGUGCUGAGACGGCAUGCAGAUGAAUGCCUUCCCCCAUUGGAUAUGUCUCGGCAGCCUCCAACUCAGGAGUUAGUAGCAAAGGAUUUGCAUGGAAAUGAGUGGCGAUUUCGGCAUAUCUUUCGGGGUCAACCUCGAAGGCACUUGCUUCAGAGUGGUUGGAGUGUGUUUGUCAGCUCCAAAAGACUUGUUGCUGGGGAUGCCUUCAUAUUUCUCAGGGGUGAGAAUGGGGAGCUACGAGUUGGAGUAAGACGUGCCAUGAGACAGCAGGGUAAUGUUCCAUCAUCAGUGAUAUCCAGUCACAGCAUGCAUCUUGGUGUUCUUGCAACUGCUUGGCAUGCUAUCUCAACAGGAACAAUGUUCACUGUUUAUUACAAGCCGAGGACAAGUCCUGCUGAGUUUAUUGUUCCAUAUGAGCAGUACAUGGAGUCUUUAAAGAACAGCUACUCUAUAGGGAUGAGGUUUAAAAUGAGGUUUGAAGGUGAAGAAGCUCCAGAGCAGAGGUUUACUGGCACAAUAGUUGGGAUUGAAGAUGCUGAUCCCAACAGAUGGCGAGACUCAAAAUGGAGAUGCCUCAAGGUGAGAUGGGAUGAGACUUCAUCUAUUCCUCGACCUGACAGAGUAUCACCCUGGAAAAUAGAACCUGCUGUGACUCCUCCACUGAAUUCGCUUCCAGUUCCCAGGCCAAAGAGGCCUCGGACAAACAUGGUGCCUUCAUCCCCUGACUCUUCUGCUCUUACUCGGGAAGGUUCAUCUAAAGUAACUGUGGACCCUUCACCAGCAAGUGGGUUUGCAAGGGUCUUGCAAGGUCAAGAAUUCUCGACCUUGAGAAGCACUUUUGCAGAGAGUAAUGAUUCUGACUCUACCGAAAAGCCUGCUGCAUGGAGACCUCCUUCAGAUGAUGAGAAGAUUGACGCAGUUUCUACGUCACGAAGAUAUGGAUCAGAGAAUUGGAUGCCCUUAAUGAGGAGUGAACCUACUUAUACGGACCUGCUGUCAGGUUUUGGUGGGCAUACCGAUUCCUCUCAUGGGUUCUGCCCGUCUUUUGUUGAUCCAAGUGCAGCUGGUGCUAACCUGAUGAAGAAACAUUUACCGCCAGAUCAGGAAGGGAAGUAUGGCUUGGUUGCGAACCCAUGGUCUGUCAUGUCUUCAGGUCUCUCACUUAACUUGUUAGAAUCUAGUUCAAAGGUUACUGUCCUAGGUGGUGAUGUGCCUUAUCAGGCACGGGGGAAUGUUAGAUAUGGCGAGUUUAGUGAGUAUUCCAUUCUUAAUGGUCAUAGAGUUGAACAGCAACAAGGAAAUUGGUUGAUGCGUCCACCAUCAUCUGUGUCUCAUCUUGAGAAUCCUGCUCAUUCAGGAGAGCCAAUGUUGGUGCAGAAAAAUGAACCGUUGAAGUCCAAGGAUGGCAACUGCAAGCUCUUUGGUAUCCCCCUCAUUAGUAACCGUGUUCCGCCAGAGCCAACAAUGUCCCAUAGAAAUAUGACAAAUGAAUUAGCAAGUCAUAUGCAUCUUGCAUCACACCAAUCUCAUUCACAUGAAUCUGAGCAGAAGUCAGAACAAUCAAAGGGCUUGAAACCAUUAGAUAAUCCAAUUACUGUCAGUGACCAGGAUAAGUCACUCCAAGCUUGCCAGCCAGUUACAAGAGAUGUUCAGGGCAAAGUUCAGGGCGGUUCAACCCGGAGUUGUACUAAGGUUCACAAGCAGGGGAUUGCACUAGGUAGGUCUGUUGACCUGACCAAGUUCAACAACUAUGAAGAAUUGAUUUCUGAAUUGGAUCAGUUGUUUGAGUUUGGCGGUGAAUUGAUGGGUUCGCAAAAGAACUGGAUGAUUGUAUACACUGAUGAUGAGGGCGAUAUGAUGCUCGUUGGAGAUGAUCCCUGGCUGGAGUUUUGUAGCAUGGUUCGCAAAAUUUUUAUCUACACUAGGGAGGAGGUCCAGAGGAUGAACCCAGGGUCCUUAAGCUCGAAAGGCCAGGAAAAUCCUGCAGCUUCUGAAAGCAUGGAUGGAAAAGAUGCAAAAUGCCCGUCACCUCCUUUGGCAGGCGUUCAAGAGAACUGUUCGGUGUAAAAUCUCCACAGUUCUAGGUUCUACGUCCGUGUUGCGGGUAGUGAGUUCCACCAUUCUUUUGAUGGCAAGUGCCAUUUUUCUGGAAAUGGACAGGGUGGGACAAACAUGAGACGACCUGUGUUCCCAAUUUUGGACGUGUUGUGGAGUUUCUCCCUUCGUUGGUAGUAUUAUGCUGUGGUGUCCAGUCCAGUAAUAUAUAUACAUAAUAUGUACACCUGUAGCCGUUGCAUUCAGUUCCCAAACCAUUCCACCUUAUUUCACUUUACUGCUGCUGAGUUUUUUUUACAUGUGGGAGAACGGAUCAAUGUGUUUGCCAAUCCUACUACCAAAGAGAAACAGUCUGUUAAGAGUUGCAGAAAUGAGAUUCCAACUUUUUAACCUUGGCACACAGGUUGCAGCUGCAACUUGCUAGGCGUUCUACGGGGGAAGCAGGGGGAGGAGCCCACUGCCGCCGGCUGUAGAAGGGCGGCGGCAUAUGUAUUAUAAUAUGAAGUAGGUUGGGGUUUGAAAGGUACAUCCAUUUGAUCACUAUUUCCAUGUUCAUUAUUCAGACCAAUUGUUAAUUUGGUUCAGGUAGAGAGAUGGGGAAAAGAAGUAUGUGUACUGUUUCUUUUCUCGGUGCAUGCAUUUAGUGGCACCUGCGUCUGGGUCUCCUGCAUUCCCAAAUUUCCUUUGGUGGGGGUAUAUUAGAAGUGGAGGCAGAUGGUUGGCUGGAAGUCGUCAGACUUCUUUCAAAAGAUAAGAAAGAUUUGAGGAAUAGUUUUUUUUUUU